UGGAAUUGUACAAAGUAUUUGAUAGGUUUUA
rnacentral:piRNA from 1 species